CGUCAAGCCUAUUCAUGAUCCUUUUGCAUCGUGCAUCGUGCAUGGCCUUAGCGGGACGUACAGCAAGAUGGAACGUGAAUAAGGCGCUUUA
rnacentral:pre_miRNA from 1 species